UGUUGGUUCUGCCGCAACGCUACUCUGUUUACCAGGUCAGGUCCGGAAGGAAGCAGCCAAGGCAGAUGACGCGUGUGCCGGGAUGUAGCUGGCAGGG
rnacentral:SRP_RNA from 1 species